rnacentral:rRNA from 1 species
UGAGCAAUCUGCCCUUCUCAUCGGAAUAACCAUUGGAAACGAUGGCUAAUGCCGAAUAUGACCUCGGAUCACAUGUUCUGAGGUGGAAAGCUCCGGCGGAGAAGGAUGAGCUCGCGGCCUAUCAGCUUGUUGGUGAGGUAAUGGCUCACCAAGGCAUUGACGGGUAGCCGGCCUGAGAGGGUGACCGGCCACACUGGGA